GAAACGCGAUAGGUAAUGUGAAUUGCAGAAUUCCGUGAAUCAUCGAAUCUUUGAACGCACAUUGCGCUCCCUGGUAUUCCUAGGAGCAUGUCUGUCUGAGCGUCAGUACACACCCUCCGCGGAUCUCUUUGUUGAGGUCCGUCGGGUCUUGAGGCUCCCUUGACGGGGAACCUCUAAAGUGGAAAGCCAGCGGCCCGCCUGCCCAUGAAAGACGUAGUAAACACAUGAACCGUCCACGAAAGGGUUUUGGUGAGGCUCGCCUCGAAUCUAUACAUCAAGGUUUGACCUCAGAUCAGACAAGAAUACCCGCUGAACUUAA
rnacentral:misc_RNA from 1 species